UACGUAGGGGGCAAGCGUUGUCCGGAUUUAUUGGGCGUAAAGAGCGUGUAGGCGGCCAUACAGGUCCGUUGUGAAAACUGGAGGGUUAACCUCCAGACGUCGAUGGAAACCGUAUGGCUAGAGUCCGGAAGAGGAGAGUGGAAUUCCUGGUGUAGCGGUGAAAUGCGCAGAUAUCAGGAAGAACACCCGUGGCGAAGGCGGCUCUCUGGGACGGUACUGACGCUGAGACGCGAAAGCGUGGGGAGCGAACAGG
rnacentral:rRNA from 1 species